AUCACACUACUUGAUGCAAUUUU
rnacentral:siRNA from 1 species